rnacentral:lncRNA from 12 species
CCGAGUCCCACACCUGCAAAGCAGCAGCAGCUUUGCUCACCUUUCGUCUGGUGGAGACCUCGAUUCCAGGCUGGCUCCAGGCUUGCUGGGACUGCAUCUUCACAUUAUGUGCUCUAUUAUGAGUGCCAGUGCUGUUUUCAAGGACAAGCAUUGUGACUUUUCCAAACCUCUUUGCCC